CCUUUUGUAUAAUGGGUCAGCGACUUAUAUUCUGUAGCAAGGUUAACCGAAUAGGGGAGCCGAAGGGAAACCGAGUCUUAACUGGGCGUUAAGUUGCAGGGUAUAGACCCGAAACCCGGUGAUCUAGCCAUGGGCAGGUUGAAGGUUGGGUAACACUAACUGGAGGACCGAACCGACUAAUGUUGAAAAAUUAGCGGAUGACUUGUGGCUGGGGGUGAAAGGCCAAUCAAACCGGGAGAUAGCUGGUUCUCCCCGAAAGCUAUUUAGGUAGCGCCUCGUGAAUUCAUCUCCGGGGGUAGAGCACUGUUUCGGCAAGGGGGUCAUCCCGACUUACCAACCCGAUGCAAACUGCGAAUACCGGAGAAUGUUAUCACGGGAGACACACGGCGGGUGCUAACGUCCGUCGUGAAGAGGGAAACAACCCAGACCGCCAGCUAAGGUCCCAAAGUCAUGGUUAAGUGGGAAACGAUGUGGGAAGGCCCAGACAGCCAGGAUGUUGGCUUAGAAGCAGCCAUCAUUUAAAGAAAGCGUAAUAGCUCACUGGUCGAGUCGGCCUGCGCGGAAGAUGUAACGGGGCUAAACCAUGCACCGAAGCUGCGGCAGCGACGCUUAUGCGUUGUUGGGUA
rnacentral:rRNA from 1 species